rnacentral:rRNA from 1 species
UAGAGUUUGAUCCUGGCUCAGCAGCCGCGGUAAUACAGCACCAGAGUUUGAUCCUGGCUCAGGAUGAACGCUGGCGGCGUGCKUAACACAUGCAAGUCGAACGAUGAAGCCCAGCUUGCUGGGUGGAUUAGUGGCGAACGGGUGAGUAACACGUGAGUAACCUGCCCUUAACUCUGGGAUAAGCCUGGGAAACUGGGUCUAAUACCGGAUAGGAGCGUCCACCGCAUGGUGGGUGUUGGAAAGAUUUAUCGGUUUUGGAUGGACUCGCGGCCUAUCAGCUUGUUGGUGAGGUAAUGGCUCACCAAGGCGACGACGGGUAGCCGGCCUGAGAGGGUGACCGGCCACACUGGGACUGAGACACGGCCCAGACUCCUACGGGAGGCAGCAGUGGGGAAUAUUGCACAAUGGGC